AAGUCGUAACAAGGUUUCCGUAGGUGAACCUGCGGAAGGAUCAUUAACACGUUUCGUUCCGAACGUUUUGACCCAUCCUAUUUUCUGUGCACCCCUCGCGUCCGGCCUCCCAGCCGCCUACCGGGUUUACUCGGUGUGGCCUGUUGGGCGUCUUUGGGAUCCAAGGCAGUUUUGGGAUCUUCCUUCGGGAUUUUCCGAUCUCUGCCUCCUGAAGGCGUUGCCACCUCACCCAAACCCUUAAAUCUAACUGAUCUGAACUUUUAGUUGACGCGAUGCAGUUUCCUCUCGGGGGGACGAAUUCGUUGCAACGACUUACAAACAAAAAACAACUCUUAACAACGGAUAUCUUGGUUCUC
rnacentral:misc_RNA from 1 species